GACGAACGCUGGCGGCGUGCUUAACACAUGCAAGUCGAACGGUGAAGCCCUUCGGGGUGGAUCAGUGGCGAACGGGUGAGUAACACGUGAGCAACCUGCCCCUGGCUCUGGGACAACCACUGGAAACGGUGGCUAAUACCGGAUACGACCCGCCUCGGCAUCGAGUGUGGGUGGAAAGUUUUUCGGCUGGGAAUGGGCUCGCGGCCUAUCAGCUUGUUGGUGAGGUGAAGGCUCACCAAGGCGACGACGGGUAGCCGGCCUGAGAGGGCGACCGGCCACACUGGGACUGAGACACGGCCCAGACUCCUACGGGAGGCAGCAGUGGGGAAUAUUGCACAAUGGGCGAAAGCCUGAUGCAGCGACGCCGCGUGAGGGAUGACGGCCUUCGGGUUGUAAACCUCUUUCAGCUCCGAAGAAGCGAAAGUGACGGUAGGAGCAGAAGAAGCACCGGCUAACUACGUG
rnacentral:rRNA from 1 species